rnacentral:lncRNA from 1 species
GAUGUUUGAGUUUGCUGCAGGGACAGAAAUGGCACAGUUGAUCUGUGGAGGAUGCCACACGCUACUGAUGUAUAUACGAGGAGCAAGCAGCGUUCAGUGUUCUUGCUGUCACACGGUAAAUCUGGCUCUGGAAGGUAAGCAGGUGCUCCUGAUCAAAAGUCCAGUGUCAGAUUUACUUGCUAAAUUUCUCAUAACAUAAAUGACAUUUUCCAAAGACAAUUGUUGCAUGAAGAUGACAAUUACUGGCUCAAUUAGUAUCAUUCUUUCACAUAUAUUUACUGACAAUGUGUGACACUCAAAAGAAAUCCUGAUGAAGCACAUGGCAGACUCAUUUCUUGACAUUCCAAUUCAUUUAUAUGCAGUCCUUUGCAGGAUAAUUAACACAAAAUGAACUUGAGACACUUUGGUGGCACACUGGUCGCCGAUACCUAAUCGACAUGCAUUUAGAUCCUCUUGAAUCAGAAAUUUUCUUUUUUUUAGAACAGCUAGCAGUAAUAGAAAAUUAUCUAAAGGCCUUCUUUGGAUCAAUUUUUUGUGGGGUUAUAUUUAUUGCUGUUCUAUGUAAAAGUAUGUCUUUAAACUACAGCAGAGGCAUAUCAACAGAUGCCUGAACAUAUUGUGUAUACAUGACUAUUCUAGCCGAAACACUAUGGAUACAACUUUUCCAAACACCUCUUUCUAAGCUUCACAAGUGUCCAUCUGAAUCUUGGAGCCAUUCUCUGUCUACCUAAAUUCUUAGUCCAUGAUGUAGCUAGAAUAUAUAGGUUUCAAUGUAGAGACAUUUCAUUUUCCUAUUGUCAUUAACAACUCACAAACAUAAAAGGGUUUAUUUUAUAUAUAUAUAUAUAUAUAUAUAUAUAUAUAUAUAUAUAUUGCUUGCUGACACAUAUUAAGUUCAAUAAACAUGUUUGGUUCCAGCAAAUCAGGUAGCACAUGUGAAUUGUGGGAACUGCCAAAUGCUGCUGAUGUAUCAAUAUGGAGCAAGAUCAGUGAAAUGUGCAGUCUGCAACUUUGUCACUUCCAUUGGGGUAAGUAUCAACCAAAUCUGUACAAAGUGAUGAUUGAGUUAUGAAAGCCAUGUUUAAAUGUGAAAACACAAUUUAUAUUGCUAAAUCCUUCAUGCUUUGAACACCUUUUUCAUUGUUGAAGUCAGUGCCCUAAAUGUUGUUCAUUUGAUAGGCUUCUCCAAGCACUGAGCAAAAAGCCUAGCAUUUGAGUACCUUGAAUCACAGAGCUUCUUCCAUCUCUUAUGCCAAGCUGUCUUGUGACACCAAAUGUAUAGAGCUUCUUCUCUAGGCUAAUCCUUCCUUUUGGCAUGUCUAAGGUGUGAAGGUCAUCAUGGAGAGCAUGUCCUCAACUGAGCUUGGAUGGCUAAUAUUUUCUUCUUCUGUCUUGUGUCAACUGUACUUUAUGAUGACAUGAUUUGCAUCUCUGUGUCAAAAUGUUGCAGAAGAUUAUUCAAAGGUUGUUAUUGCAUACCUUAAAGUUGUACUUCCCUCCCUUAUUUUUUUCUUAUCCAAUUGCUCAUCUGCUAAUUAUAAUUAUCUUUGAUUACUGAUAUAAUCUUAAAUCCAGACUCUCAUUUUAAAUCCUGAUCGAAAAAAUAUGAUAAAUCUAACACGUGGAUUCCCCACCACUAACGCAUCAACCUGGGCCGAUGUGCACAUUGAUGCUGACUGCAACAGCUUACACAACUCCUUACACAUCCGAGUAACGUCGAUAACUUCAAAAAUCAUUUUCAUGAAAUAACUCUCCAUCGAGUGGAGACGAUUAUCAAAGCUAUCCCUAUCUAUAAAAUGUAAAAUUUUAAUUAUCCUAAACUCAGCAAUACUCUUCUCUACAUCAUUGAUUUAAACAAUGGAGAGACUUUGUCAGAUACAUCCAAUGUAAUUUUAUCCAAACUACUUGGAAUUGGACUUACGACAAACUCAGACCCAAACCAAGUUGACUUCAUGACUCAUGUUGAACAGUAGGACAAUCAAAAAUUAGUUUGGAGUCAUUAAAAUUCUGAAUGCAGAUCAAAUUAGAAAACAGAAGUAUAUUAAUAAGGAUCAGAACAAUACCAUUACCAUCUAAUCAAACUGGGACAGAGCAUAAGCAUCUUUGAUAAAUAACCAAAUCAACUUCACUUGCCAAAGGUGAUAAUUGCAGGACAUGCUAAAAUCUAGCACAAAUGAAGGUCUUGCACAAAACCUACAUGCCACUUGGUCUGACAAAAGCUUAAUGUACCUCACCCUGUUUAAGCUCAUUCAUACCAAUAGCAAUAUUUACACAAGACUCUCAUAGACCAUGGAGAUGUAAGUUACAAACAUCAUUUGUACCUCAUGUGGACUAAGGAUUAAACUACUGGUUAGAGGUUUAUUUAACCCACUAAAUUUUAGCCUGGGUUAAAAAUAUCCCACCUAAGUUAAAGAAUCCUCUCUCAUCUUGUUUGCCCAACAUGACAACUUACCUGGAUUAGCACCCCCAAACAAAAAAAGGAUCAACCAACAUUGUCUAAAACCUUCAGCAAUGAAUCUCAAGCAAUUUACUCUGGAAAGUUGUUAUGAAUAUAUAUGUACACAAAUAUAUAUUCAUAAAAUUAGUAAUUUUUAUAUUUAUGUAUAUUAUUAUACAACAAUAACAAAAUCAUAAAGUCCCAACUAUUUAUGCAUAGUUUUAUAUAAUAACAAAACUAAAAGAUCUCGACCAUUUGGGCUGAAUACAUCAAUAUUUUAUUGUCGGUAAAUUGAUACAUAAUCUUAUAAAUUUCAAAUACAAUCAGCAACAUAAAAGCAUUAAAAUUUUAUAAGGCAUUUAGAUUUUCCAAAACUAUUAAAUAUAUGAUGACAGAUAUCUAUGAAUGAGAUUAAUAUUUACAACUCCCUCUUUACUAUUUAUUAUUUUAUUUUAUUUUUUUUAAUAUUGGUAACAAUUGACUGCGAAUAGUAAGAUUCUAUAUAAAACCUCAUUUAAAUAAUAAAGCUAAGAAAAUGAGAUAAAAGAAAACAUCACCGCGAGGAUUCAGACUCGUUGGCUUAUGAUAAGAAGUCCACAUGCACACCACCAUCACAGCUAUGGAAAGGCACCGUACAUCACAAUUCGCAUUGCCUUGUCCCAUCCUUUUAGAGCGAUUGCGGAGAAUUCAUUGGUUUUGUGUUGUGAUAGACGAAGAGAUGGUAGUGCGCUUGUCCUCUUGUAUCGUUCGCCAGAGAUGUCAAUCGUAUUCACAUAUUUAUCUUCGGGUCAUCCGAUCACGAUGGAGAAGCUGAUAAGUUGCAGUGUACCUGUUUGUCGAAAUGAAAAGCCCGCCGAAAUCCGAGAAAUUAUGCAGGAAAACCCGAUCUUUCUAGAUCUAAUCAAGUCUUCUGUUGAGAAACCCGCAUGCGAAGCACGCCCUGGUGCUGCGCGAUGAUGAGAGAGAGGAACCUGCAUGCAAGCCGGGAGGGAAGCUCCGGCGCGUAGAGGCAUCGUCGCUUACGAAGGCCGCAGAACAGAUGUCCACGUCUCUGCGAUGACCAUGCGAGAAGAAAUGGGGGAGAAAUCGCUAGGGUGACACAGAAAUGGUGGGAGGAACUAAGCCUCCUCGAUGCCCUCCGGUCUCUUUUCCCUAAUCGGUAACCGAUAACCGAUACGAUUAAGGGUUUCAUGUCCUCAUCACCCAUCAAACUCUAUUUCAUCGACAACCAUUCUCAU